UAGAGUUUGAUCAUGGCUCAGGACGAACGCUGGCGGCGUGCUUAACACAUGCAAGUCAAGGGGGCCCAGCAAUGGGCAACCGGCGAACGGGUGCGUAACACGUGAGCAACCUACCGAACUGUGGGGGAUAGCCGGCCUAACGGCCGAGUAAUACCGCAUACGCUUUCGAUGAGGCAUUUCAUUGAAAGGAAACCUACGGGACAGAUCGAGGGGCUCGCGGCCUAUCAGCUAGUUGGCGAGGUAACGGCUCACCAAGGCGACGACGGGUAGCUGGUCUGAGAGGAUGGCCAGCCACAUUGGGACUGAGAUACGGCCCAGACUCCUACGGGAGGCAGCAGUGGGGAAUCUUGCGCAAUGGCCUAACGGCUGACGCAGCGACGCCGCGUGUGGGAUGAAGCUCCUCGGAGUGUAAACCACUGUUGCCCGGGACGAAUAGCUCGAUUAAUCGAGCCUGACGGUACCGGGUGAGGAAGCACCGGCUAACUCCGUGCCAGCAGCCGCGGUAGCCCA
rnacentral:rRNA from 1 species